AUUCUAUUUUCUUAUUUAUGUGAUUUUCAAAAAAUAAUUAAAAAAUUUAAUAAGAAAAUAAAAUAAGUGUUAUUAAUGACAAUCAUUAUAAUAUAAUACUUUUAGGGUGGUGUAUUCAACUAAAAGUUUCAAGUGGUUUGUAUUAAAAUGACAAAUAUGUUGUUAUUCAAACAUGAAUUUUAAAAAACACUUUAAAAUCCAAUGUUAUUGAACUUUUCAUUUCAUAAAACGCUCUGAAAUCCACUGUUAUUGAACAAAAUUUAAGUCGGAGAUUUUAGAGUACUUUAAUUGUUUCUAAAGUGUUUGAGGAAAGUUCUUUAGUUAUAAAAAUAAAAAU
rnacentral:lncRNA from 1 species